AGUGAACGCUGGCGGUAGGCCUAACACAUGCAAGUCGAACGAGUGGCGGACGGGUGAGCAAUACAUCGGAAUCUACUCCGUCGUGGGGGAAAACGAAGGGAAACUUACGCCAAUACCGCAUACGAUUGUAUUAGCCGAUGUCGGAUUAGCUGGGUGGCGGGGUAAAGGCCCACAAGGGCGACGAUCCGUAGCUGGUCUGAGAGGAUGAUGAGCACAACUGGAACUGAGACACGUUCCAGACUCCUACGGGGGGCAUCGGUGGGGAAUAUUGGACAAUGGGCGCAGGCCGGAUCCAGCAAUACCGCGUGGGUGAAGAAGGCCUUGGGGUUGUAAAGCCCUUUUGUUGGGACAGCGGUACCCAAAGAAUAAGCACCGGCUAACUUCGUGCCAGCAGCCGCGGUAAUUC
rnacentral:rRNA from 1 species